rnacentral:rRNA from 1 species
AUACGUAGGGUGCGAGCGUUGUCCGGAAUUACUGGGCGUAAAGAGCUCGUAGGUGGUUUGUCGCGUCGUCUGUGAAAUUCCGGGGCUUAACUCCGGGCGUGCAGGCGAUACGGGCAUAACUUGAGUACUGUAGGGGAGACUGGAAUUCCUGGUGUAGCGGUGAAAUGCGCAGAUAUCAGGAGGAACACCGGUGGCGAAGGGGGGUCUCUGGGCAGUAACGGACGCUGAGGAGCGAAAGCAUGGGUAGCGAACAGCAUUAGAUACCCUGGUAGUCCAUGCCGUAAACGGUGGGCGCUAGGUGUAGGGGUCUUCCACGACUUCUGUGCCGUAGCUAACGCAUUAAGCGCCCCGCCUGGGGAGUACGGCCGCAAGGCUAAAACUCAAAUGAAUUGACGGGG